GGGGAAAAAACUCGCGCUUCCUGUUGCAGCUAACAAUAGUAGAUGGAUCAAAAAGUUUGGCCACUGCCACUGCAACAUCCUUUCUGUCACACAUUCCUAUACUGGUUUCAAAUUUGCCUCAAUUCUUCUUUCUGAUUAUACAGAAACUUG